rnacentral:lncRNA from 14 species
GCUGGUUCUGGCUGCAGAAGUCAGUGCUCCUCUGAGGAGGACGCCCUUGAAAGCACCAGAGAGGCUGCAGCCAAGCAGGUGAGAAGGCAGUGGCACUUCAUGGAGGUCCGGUCGGAUUUGCCCUGCCUAAAGAGCUCUGCCCACGGUGCGUGCACAAUGCAGGGCAGUGCAGUUAGGGGUGGUGGGAGAAGGGGAAGCCUCGGUGUAGAGCUUCAGGGACACCAGCUUCCCAGGUAUUCCCUGGGGAAACUGAGGCACGCAAUGCUCAUUACAAGGUGGGGAAGCAAGUGAAACCCAGAGCCGGUGCUGCACCUCCAGUCCCCGCAUCCCACUAAAGGAUGCCCCAAGGUGGGACAUUAUUAGGAUUGAUUUAGCACCAUCACACUGCCCCCAAACUGGGGCACGGCAGGGGAAAUGGGGCACAUGGCUCAGGAGAGCCUGGACUUGUCAACCUCACCCAUGGCAGAAAGAGCAACGCAGCAGUGAGCAUUCACCAUCAUUGCUCAGGUUUUUGGUGGCUGAGAUCAUCAAACACCAUAGGGAAGGCUGGGAGCAGCCACGCUGGGGGGAAGCUCUCUUGCAGCACAGUCAGGUUUUCCUCCAUCCAGCCCUAACGCAGCGGGCUCAGGGCCAGCCGAAACCUCACGGUCACAGGAGCGAGACCACAGCAGGUCAACCACAGGACGGGACAGGGAAACUUGGAGCCGGCCUCCAACACUCACAUUAUGGGGAAGGAAGCGCAGCACAGCCCGAGUCACAAGUAUCCCCAUCACGGGUGGCAGAGGCACUGACCCACUGCAGACCCAGAGCCACCGCAGUGCCCUCCUGGCAUUGGGGCCAACAUCCGCUUGGACACAUUCCCCGCUGCAAGGCGAGGGCAGGCUCACUACACACACACCCUAUUCCUUGUAUUUUUGCCUUAAAUGCCCAGUUCUGCUCCCCAGAUUGCUCUAGAUGAUCCCGCAGUCCGGGCUAUGGGGACAUGGGAUGCUGCACCUCCACUGACACCCCCUGGGGGCAAGGGCUUGAGCACUAAAUGCCUAAA